CCACUUUGACAAUAUUUACUUAAGUAUUUCCCCCCACCUCACUCACACACAUGCUCCCCCACACUGGUUCCCUUAAAUAGUUCCAGUAGAAUUUUUUUUUUCCCUUAAGAAAGGAAAGAGAAAGUCCAACCACUACGGCAAUACUUUUAAGCUCUACUAAAUGAUCGUAUCCUUUCUGGCUUCGAAACUUUUGUACCUAAAAAUCGAGAGAGGCGCUGCAUUUUUUCAGUUGAAACUGUCAAAACUUGGAGAAGGGGGACCUCGGAGGCAGGCAGGAGAGGAGGAGAAUCCUGAAAACUCGGUGGAGGUUGGGAAGAUGCUGUGCCUCGAGGAUUAGUUUAAACAGGGGGCUAUAAAAGAUGUAACAGAUGCAAACUGUAACACAAGGGCCAUUAACCCUUUCUCUGCCGGGCACACUCAGUCCCCACGCCCCACACCUAUUGUCUCCUGUGCUAGAAGCUUUGCAGAAAACCUGGAAAGGGAAAUCCUGAAAUAAAGAAAUGGUCACACAAGUGUCUGGGAUGAAACAGCUGGCCUGUCUAUAUUCAUCCUGAGACACACGACUGCAUAUAAAUACAUGUUUAAUAAAGUAUUUGCCAAGUCCUAAUUGCUGAAUAUAAUGAAUUGGAACUAGAUGCGAAAAUAGAGCAGGACCUCUCCCCUUGAUGAGUUUUUAUUCCAGCCAUAUAAUUCUCAAUAAAACUUUUCCUGGGCUGGAUAGCAAAGGACACCUUUGGUUACCUGAAUGAACAGUUUUGGCCAGAAAUGGUGAGAAGAAAAAGCAUGAAGAAGCCGCGAAGUGUGGGGGAGAAAAAGGUGGAAGCGAAGAAACAGCUCCCGGAGCAAACUGUACAAAAACCUCGCCAAGAGUGUCGGGAGGCAGGACCGUUAUUCCUGCAGAGCAGGAGAGAGACGAGAGACCCUGAAACACGCGCCACCUAUCUUUGUGGGGAGGGAUAAUUGAAGCGCCCUGAGCGUACCAGAGCCAGAAAAAAAAAUGCUGCAUGGGAGCUGCAUCUUAGGGCAUGUGUAUUAGGGUGUGUGCAUGAUGAAUUUCUGGACUGGAUCCCAAUAUUAAAAAGUAGUUUGGCAUUUUAAUAAAGGGUCUCUAAGUAAAUUAAAAUAGAACACUCGGUUGGCCGAUCUCUGAAUCUCUCUACACCUCGGGGAGACCUCACUACAAAGUAAGGGAGAGUGUGUAGGGAGGCAGGAGGAGAAACGAGAAAGGCCAUAGAGAAACUUAGCAGGGAAGGGAGAGCAUGAUAUUAAACGGCAUGGGGUCUAAGUUUUGGAGUAUAUAUUUUUUGAUAUUACAAUUAAAGUAAGAUUAAAAAGAAAAGACUCCACCUUUGCUCUGAAGGGAUUGGUUAUGCAAAUAUGGAAGGGAUUUCCUGGAGAAUACAGCUUUCUACUGUAUGGUUAAUUAAAUAAUCACUCAAAAGCUUCCAACGUGACGCUUCUGUCGUAAUCCAAUCAGGUUACAUAGGUCCUAAACAAGAAAGAUAUUUUCCACAUCUGGAAGUCAGCAAUUUAGCAAGUACUGCACAUUAUUAACCAAUUCAGAGCCCACUUCCCAGGGGAAUUUUUUUGAAGUUUAAGUGUUCUUAACCAAUGCUCUGCUGUUUUGUUAAUCAAAAAGCUGGUUUACACUGCACAUAAUUGGAACUAAUAUAGAAGUAAAUAAAGACAGCCAAAUUUGA
rnacentral:lncRNA from 1 species